CGGCCCCGGCCCCGGCGGGAGGAGCCGAGGGGGCUCUGGGGGAGAGAGGCCUCGGAGGGUCCAUCUCCCCUGCACCCCACGAAGGUCCCGCCGAGUCCCAGGCAUCUGACUGCCAGUUGGAUCUCUCAUCCUGGAGGUCCCGUCUGGGAGACCAGUCCUGCACCGCAGGGGGUACUUGCAACGUGUCGCUACAAAAGUAACACUACAAAAAUAAUGUUACCCUGACACUGGCCGUGGUCACAACACGUUGGGGCACACACCUUCCUCCUUCCUCACUGAAGGCCUACACAACUGGUUUUAUAAAGCUGUGCACUUGUCGUCCCGCAGGAAGCUCUGCUCCCUUUUUUUCCACACAGCACCAUCACCUGUGAACAUCUGGACACGGGCAGCACCAUCAGCUGACGGGACAGAUGACACGCUGAGUGCCAGGCAGCUGAUCCUCCGUGAUGGGUGCUGCGCAUUGCGGGGUUCCUCCACAGACCCUGGCUACUGUCUCUCUUUCUCCUCACGCAUCAGCCAUAGGUGGAGGCUGAAAUGUCACCUGCUGAUGUGUGAGUCCAGCAACAAGUGAAGUGCAGGAAGGUACAAAAAUGUCAGGGCUGUUGACCAACAGAGGCUGGUUUGCAAGGGGCGUGUGCUGCUCUGUACCUCUCUGGGGCCCACGCUGCAGUAGUCAGUGAAGAAUCCUGCUUCAGUGUGAGGCAAUGGAAACUGUCUUAACAGCAGCAUCCCUGUACCUGGCAAAAAGACAUUUUCACAAAACAUUUCGGGUUAGGAGGAAAGUAGCCAGCACAGGGACAAAACAUGAAGAAGUGGCAUCUUCACAUGCACUGCUCACUUGCAGAAAAAAAAAACAAAAACAGAAAACUUUUUUGCUAGUGUCUGAGUUCCAGCAACUAAAAUGGCUGUUGGGUGAGCCAGAGCUCCACUGUAGUCAGCUGCAAGCUGCAUCUCUGAGCUGAUGCAGGCAUUGCAUCUGCAAAGCUGCUACCCAUCCCCUCUGCCUCUUUUUCCUCCUCAGGAAAAAGUCCACCUCUUUUUCCUCCCAGAAAGCCCACUAGAGAGACCGGCCUUCAUUCUGCCUUUCCUCCCUGCUCACGGCUGUUCUGCUGCAGGGGAAUGGUGUCAAAUUCCAGAGAGAGAGAGGGAGGCAAAGCUACUUGCAAUGCAAUCAAGCAACUGCUGUGGGAAGAAGCCGAGCAGCAAAGGAUGAUUUACUAACACAAGCUAAGCCAAUAUAAACACUUAUGAUACAGGUGCCUGUGCUCUCAGAGAUUGCCUGACUUAAUUCAAUUGUUUUGUAAACCAAUUUAGUUAAAUCUGUAUAAAACUGGUGUUUAAACAAGCCAAAACAGUGUUUAAAAUGUCAUUAAUAAAACGUAUCACCAUAAAACAAAUA